rnacentral:SRP_RNA from 1 species
UGUUAGUCCUGAACACUGUUAAAUUGAAAAAUGAGUCAGGUCUGGAAAGAAGCAGCUAUAUCAAUUAAUACAGGUGUUUUGUUAAAACUAACAGAA